rnacentral:rRNA from 1 species
AUUGAACGCUGGCGGCAGGCCUAACACAUGCAAGUCGAGCGGAUGAAGGGAGCUUGCUCCUGGAUUCAGCGGCGGACGGGUGAGUAAUGCCUAGGAAUCUGCCUGGUAGUGGGUGAUAACGUCCGGAAACGGGCGCUAAUACCGCAUACGUCCUGAGGGAGAAAGUGGGGGAUCUUCGGACCUCACGCUAUCAGAUGAGCCUAGGUCGGAUUAGCUAGGUGGUGGGGUAAAGGCCUACCAAGGCGACGAUCCGUAACUGGUCUGAGAGGCUGAUCAGUCACACUGGAACUGAGACACGGUCCAGACUCCUACGGGAGGCAGCAGUGGGGAAUAUUGGACAAUGGGCGAAAGCCUGAUCCAGCCAUGCCGCGUGUGUGAAGAAGGUCUUCGGAUUGUAAAGCACUUUAAGUUGGGAGGAAGGGCAGUAAGUUAAUACCUUGCUGUUUUGACGUUACCAACAGAAUAAGCACCGGCUAACUUCGUG